UUCCUGGGAUUGGCGACGUUGGUGCUCCCGGCGCGCCAGUGGAGGGCGGGAGCCCGACGGAGGAGUGUGGGCUGCGGGGCAGAUGUCAUGUGGCCUGUGCUUUGGACCGUGGUGCGUACCUAUGCUCCCUAUGUCACAUUCCCUGUGGCCUUUGUGGUCGGGGCUGUGGGCUACCACCUGGAAUGGUUCAUCAGAGGGAAGGAUCCCCAGCCUGUGGAGGAGGAGAAGAGCAUCUCAGAGCGCCGGGAGGACCGCAAGCUGGAUGAGCUGCUAGGCAAGGACCACACCCAGGUGGUGAGCCUUAAGGACAAGCUGGAAUUUGCCCCUAAAGCUGUCCUGAACAGAAACCGACCGGAGAAGAAUUAACGAAGGACACAGGGCCCUAUGGGUCCUUCAGUGGGCCUUGUCUGGCCCUGCCACCAUGUCGACCCAGCUCUAGAACCCACAUCUGAUUUGCUUUAUUGCUUCUGGCCCCUCUUGCCCCACACAGCCACACACUCUGGCUGCUCUGCUGUGGCCAGGCAGACGCGCUGGUAGCCUCAGGGGCCAGUGAAGAGGAAGGCUCACGAGGGUUCUGACCUGAAAGUUGCAUCUGCUGGUUGGUGGCCACCGCUGCUCAGGCUUCUGCGCUGCUGGGUGCACCACUGGGAGGAGUUAUGAGAUGAACACUGGCUCUCAGUCCCUUCGGGGAAGCAGUUCGGCCCCAAGGGGGAGUGGCUGGGAUUGGGGGUUGUCUUUAGGAGGGAUACCUACAUGUCUAGUUCCAGUUCGCACUGGGAGGAGGUCACAGAUCUGCCUGGCUUGCCCUGUCCUUUGUGCUCAUUCUCCCUCCAGUCCUGGCCUAGCACUCAGGCAGGGAUUCCCCUGGGAAGGAAAGCCCUUUUGUUCUUGGGAGCCCAGGCUGUUCACCUUGGGGCAUGUGACUUCGCUUGAAAACAGUCACUACCUUUCACCCCCCCAUCACUGUUCAGAGCAAAACUUGAUUAAAGUGGUGUCUGAGAACCAUAUUGAUCUAAUCCUAUCUUCCAGGUGGUGUUGGGGUCUCCUUAGAGUUAUGCAAGUGCAGGUGACUCCAGGUAGGAAAACGCUGGCCUUUAACUGAAUAAGGACUUCGGGGCCAUAGAAACUUUGUUUUACUAACAUGGUUGUACUGGGUCCCAGAGGCACCCGUUCCCAAGAGCCUUUUUAUCAUGAUAACAAGAGGCUUAUAGGACCUUUCAAAGUCUAAAUUAGAGGAGCCCAGGAACCUGAACAAUUGUUGUCAGUUUACCAAUUUCAUGCACGUACGUAUACACACAUAUAGUUUUCCCGGUGAAAGUAGUAUUUGUACAUUAAAGAACAUUUGGUAGGGAUUUUAAAAAAAUGGUUACCCAAGAGAUCCCUCCAUUGCAUAGUGGGUUAAUAAUCCGGCUCAUCUCAUGGUGUUGCUAGGUCGAUGCCUGCUGCAGUGGUUUAAGGAUCUGGUGUUGCAGCUGUAGCCUAGGUUGUAGAUGUGGCUCGGAUUUGAUCCUGUGGCCCAGGAACUUUAUAUGCUGUGGGUGCAGCCAAAAAUGGGGAAAACAAAAACAAAAAACCCAAACAGAUAGUUAUCCACACUCUGAGGGCCCAUUUACAGCUAAAAAGCUCACAUUUUGGUAUCUUUCACUAAUUCUUGACCUAGUUUUUUGCUUUCUUUCUGAUGGUUAUCAUUACUGUACAUUUAAUUUUAUAUUCUUUUUUCACAUGGUGUUUCACAUCGUAAUCAUUUUCUCAUUUUAUCACAUGGUCUUCAUAGUCCUCAUUGUUUCAACAGCUGUAUAAUUGCCCAUUGAGUGGGAACAUAGCAUAGGUUUUUUGUUUUUUGUUUUUGGCUGUGCUCACGACAUGUGGAAGUUCCCGGGCUAGGGACUGAAUCCACGCCACAGCAGUGACAAUGCCAGAUCCUUAACCCACUGAGCCACCAGGGGACUCGGCAUGGCUUGUUUUUUAAGUUUCCCUGUUGUUAGACAUUUGGAUUGUUUCUGGUUCACUAGAAGAAAUACCACAAAGAGUAUCUUAUAUAAGGAUUCUCCUGCAGUUUGGACUAAAUGGUAGGAACAGUAAUUGGCGUUUUGGAUGAAAUGAGAUGAACAGUUUUAAGGGUCUCGGUGCCUAACACUAAAUGUCUUUCCAAGGGGCUAUAAGAGCUUAUACUAAAUGCUGCCACUUAAGAGUUGUUGGGGAGUUUGGAAGGGGUGAGAGCAGAGAGUGGACCUAUUGCCUGAUGAAGGUGGCUGACCUUUAACCUGAAUGAGCAAAGGCAGGCAAUGAACAUUUGAUGAAGAACAAACUGCUUUAAAAUGGGGGAGGGUGUGUACCCUGCUUCUGACCUCAGGAUCUGGGGUGGGUGAAGAUGGGAUUCCUGAACAGGUAGAGAUGCUGGCUGUGCAGUGGGAGGAGCUAGGGGACAGGGAAGGAGGUAGCCAGAGAUGCAGGGUCAAGUUGAGUUGGUAGCUUCCCCUCAGUUGCGGAGGCCUAGUGGGAAUGUAGAGAUGAGUUGCUGUUGCCUCUCAGGGAAUAAAUCUGAUGGGGAGUGUGGAGCAGCAGUGUCUGCUACCGAAGUAGUGAUGAGGUUUCUGAUUUUGAAAGGAUAUAUUGAGCUCAGCUUGGUCACUUGGUUUUUGAGCUCAGGCUGACGCAGGCCUUAUCGGCAGCCCAGUGCUGCCCCCCUGUGGCAGUCCUGAGUAUGGUCAAGCCUGGGAUCCCUUCGCAGGGCCAAACUGCUAGUAGCAAACUCCCAUGCCUGGAGGGGUUCAGUAAGGUGGCUUAAAAGAGCAGGCCAGGCCAGGAGCUAGGAAGCACAGGCCUGCCUAAAGGGGGCAGUGGCUAUGCAGCUUCUUCCAGUUUGUGCUCCUUGCCUAGAAACACCAGUUUUUCUUUUUUCCCUCUUGAAGAUACUAGACAUUCAGAUUUUUGUGGAUUUUAUUUAUUUAUUUUGGUGUGGAAACUUCCGAUUUUUAAAAGUUGACAGUUUAUUUAAAAAAAAAAAUUGGAGUUCCCUUGUGGUGCAGUGGUGCUGCGGCUUGCAUUGCUGCUGUGGCUCAGGUUCGAUCCUUGGCCUGGGAACUACUUCAUGCUGCUGAUGCAGCGAAAAACAAUAACAAUAGUAAUAAUAAAAAUUCUAAGCAUGCUAACAUACCUAUAGAGGUAAUUUAACCCAGUGGCUGCCAAUUUGCCACCUGUCAAGCUGCCCCUGGCCUUCUAAUGAAAUCUGAGAGAUCUGCAUAGUUUUUAAGCAAUCAAACAACUGUGGCAAAGAUUAGAUCCCAGGACUGGUUUCUUUUGAAACACCUGAGCAUCCUGUGCAUAUGUAGUCUAAUAUCAGCCUAAGCAAAACAUUAGAGGGCAGAAAACCUACAGAAAUAACCCAAAAAAGUUUUCCCACAGACUAAGACAUUUUUGGAUUUUCAGCUAUUUUAGAAUAAGCCUGUCACUGCUGCUGUACUCCUCCCAGUGCCUGGCAGAGGAUGCCCUAUCUUUGGAAAUCCAAGUUGCCCCAUUUUUCCAGUCUCACUUUGUGUCCCCUUUAAAUAAUUUUAUUUCCUAGGGCUUGCCCUCACUGAAUGUCUGCCUCCGGCAAGUCUAUUAAUAUUCUCAGUGGCUUUUCUUUCCCAAGGGCUGGCUGAGCCCUGCUUCUGCUGUGGGGCUGUGAGAUAGUGCACGCUUUCUUGUCUCUGCUCCGGAGACCUCAGGUAGCAGGGCUUCUGAAGCUGUGGCAAAGGCAGGCCAGGCUUGCUGAAACAAACCCGGGCACGGACCAGUUUGCUUCCAUAGCUGCUGAUUCACCUUGGAGGCAUGUGACCCUCUUUGGGAUCAGCCCAACAGUCACAUUAACACUGAGAUGUGCUUGGGGCUUUUUGCUUGGCACUCACCCCCACCCCAUCUCUUCUCGGCCUGAUGCUGGCGGUCAGAGCCUGUUAUCCUAUCUGAGCACGGCAGGAAUCACUUCUCUGCCCUCAGCCGCCCCGUGUCUGGUGCUUUUCCACUCUCUCCUGAGCCUUUCCUGUGCCUGUUGCUGUGUUAGCACAAGUCAGCUGGGCAGCUGCCAGGACAAGCCUUCUAGGGGGCCCUUUGACUGCUGUCAGCUUCCCAGGGCCCUGGGCUGGUGAGGCCGCCAGCAGAGCAAAAAACUCCAUGGGAUUAGCCUCCCCAGAGUCACUUGAGGGCCAGGCAGUGGAAACGAAAAGGCUUAUGCCUUUUGCCUUACUUUUCUUUUUCCCCUCAGGUCUCUAGGCACUUGUCGAGUGGGGAGCCGGGACUGUGUGGUAGAGUAAAAAUAAAGUGGGUGCUAGAGGCUG
ensembl:lncRNA